rnacentral:rRNA from 1 species
AGAGUUUGAUCCUGGCUCAGAAUCAACGCUGGCGGCGUGCCUAAUACAUGCAAGUCGAACGCGAAAGUCCCGCAAGGGAUAAGUAGAGUGGCAAACGGGUGAGUAACACGUGGGUGACCUGCCUUCGAGUGGGGGAUAACGUUCCGAAAGGGACGCUAAUACCGCAUGACAUCCUGCUUUUGAAUAAGCGGAGAUUAAAG